UACGUAGGGGGCAAGCGUUAUCCGGAUUUACUGGGUGUAAAGGGAGCGUAGACGGUGAUGCAAGUCAGAAGUGAAAGCCCGGGGCUCAACCGCGGAACUGCAUUUGAAACUGUCAGUCUUGAGUACCGGAGAGGUCAUCGGAAUUCCUUGUGUAGCGGUGAAAUGCAUAGAUAUAACUUAGAACACCGAUAGCGAAGGCAGCUUACCAGACUGAGUCUGACGCUGAUGCACGAGAGCAUGGGUAGCGAACAGG
rnacentral:rRNA from 1 species